UACGGAGGGUGCAAGCGUUAUCCGGAUUCACUGGGCUUAAAGGGUGCGUAGGCGGUCAGGGAAGUCCGUGGUGAAAUCUCCGAGCUUAACUCGGAAACUGCCGUGGAUACUCUCUGUCUUGAAUCCCCUGGAGGUGAGUGGAAUAUGUCAUGUAGCGGUGAAAUGCUUAGAUAUGACAUAGAACACCGAUUGCGAAGGCAGCUCACUACAGGGGUACUGACUCUGAGGCACGAAAGCGUGGGGAGCAAACAGG
rnacentral:rRNA from 1 species